rnacentral:rRNA from 1 species
GAUGAACGCUGGCGGCGUGCUUAACACAUGCAAGUCGAACGAAGAUGCCGGAGUGCUUGCACUUUGGCAGACUGAGUGGCGGACGGGUGAGUAACGCGUGGGUAACCUGCCUUAUACAGGGGGAUAACAGUUGGAAACGACUGCUAAUACCGCAUAAGCGCACGGGUCGGCAUCGACCAGAGGGAAAAGGAGUAAUCCGCUUUGAGAUGGCCUCGCGUCCGAUUAGCUAGUUGGUGAGGUAAUGGCCCACCAAGGCGACGAUCGGUAGCCGGACUGAGAGGUUGAACGGCCACAUUGGGACUGAGACACGGCCCAGACUCCUACGGGAGGCAGCAGUGGGGAAUAUUGCACAAUGGGGGAAACCCUGAUGCAGCGACGCCGCGUGAGCGAAGAGUAUUUCGGUAUGUAAAGCUCUAUCAGCAGGGAAGAAAAUGACGGUACCUGACUAAGAAGCACCGGCUAAAUACGUG